UUUUUUUUCUUUUUUUUUUUAAGAUGACUUUUAAGAACCCUGAAAUGCAUAUAGGUGAGACAAUAGAAAUGAAAGGCUUUCAGCCAGGCCUUUCUGACUUAACUCUGCUGAAAAUUGUUUUAGUUGUCUGACAGGCCAACUGUUGAACCCUUCUAUGACAGUAUCAACAUUGGCUUCUGGUUCAUUCUGGGCAUGUAAGAAGUCAGGGCUUAUACAUUAAUGGUAACUGGCUAAAAAAACAACAAAGACUAUACGCCUGUGUGUGCCACUCUGCUUCCACAGUGUAUCCUAUUAACAAGCCUCACCUACCUAAUCCAGUGAGUUUUAACUCUAAAUCUCAUUCCUUUCCCUCUUUCUCAAACUUUUUUUUCCCAUUUCUUUUUCUUUAAAAAAAAGUAUUUUUGUGUGUUAUUAACAGGAAUUCAUAUUUGGUGUGGCUUAACUGUAUUUCAGAAGGUCAUCAGAUUGUGAGACUGCUUCCAUGAAACAUUUUUGUGCUAUUGUUUUAAGAAAAUAAUAAUUAAAAAACAGUUGGCGUUAAUAAAAAUGUCAAUGUAAAACUGAUGUCCUGAUUUAUUUUAUUCUCUCUGAUAAUCAACUAAAACCUUUCCUUUCAGUAGGACUAUAAGAAGUUUUACUACCUUUUUUAUUUUUUUUGCACGUGAAAGUUUCUGGGCCAGGGAUUGAACCUGCACCAGAGCGGUGCCCUGUGCCACAGCAGUGACACCACCAGUCCUUAACCCUCUGUGCCCCAGGAAACUCCCCACCAUAAGACUUGAGCCUAAGAAAAUCCAGUUCCUGAAUUCUAAUGAAUUGUAUCUAACCAGAAAAAUCCUGAUUCCUUCUAAAUUCUUUCUGGAGUCUCAAAAGUGUCUUACAAGCUCCUUAGAGACAGCAUUCUCUAGAGUUAAUUCUCUCCAGUUAAUUCUCUUGAGUUAACUCGAGCCUACCAGUCCAUUUAUCAAGGCUUUCCUGUCCAGGUUCCGUGUUCUGGGCUGCCUUGUAGACUAUCUAGGCUGUGCUUAGGGCACCCAAAACUCUGGAACUAAUUCUGCUUUAAUUAAAGUAAUCAGAAUCUUUAAAAUUCUAGACAUUAUUUUAGUAUCAGCAUACAUGCAAGUUUUUGUGUAAAAUGGUUCAGCUGUUCUAUUUCUCUUGGGGAAGAGGUUGUGCUGGGCAUCUUUCGUUUCCCCUUCUGAACUACUCUUCACCCUGCUCUGCACCCCAGUAGGUGUUGAGCCCAGGGGACUGUGUUAACAGGAUCCUUCGCCCUCUGACUUCAGGCUGUGUUUGAUCACAUCAAAAGGCUGAGGAACAGGGUAUUCUAAAUUGUCAGGUCACACAGGUUGACUGUGCCCCUCUACCAAACACUGACUGCUAUCAAGCAGCCCUCUCUAGUUUCUAGCUCCUUCUCUUUGCCCCUUCAGAGCCAGGGACUGAAAGGACCAUUCCUCUCCUGGCUCUGGAUAACUCCAGUAUUCUUUGUUGGUUUCCCAGAACUCUGCACCAUGUCUCUGUAAAUAGUUCCUUUAGUAAACCUCCCUCAAGUUACCCAGUUUGAGGGUAUUCUCUGUUUUCUGCUAAUACCGUGACUGAUUUGGGCACCAUAGUCCUGACGCAUUGGUUUUAUAAAAUUCUUAACCCAGCCUAUUCCUUAUCAGAUGUUUUACUGUCUGUCUUCCAAAUAGCUCCCUAUACGGAGUUCCUGGUGUGGCUCAGUGGUUGACAAAUCUGACUAGGAACCAUGAGCCACGGUGGGAACUCCAUGACAUUGAUCCUUAACUCACCGUGCUGGGUUGGAGAUUGAGCCUGUGUCCCAGCACUAGAGACUCAAUCGAGUUGCACCACAGCAGGAACUCCUACACUGCAUUGUAAUCCACACUAAUUUAUUAGGGGGUUCAUUAUCUAUUCAUAUUAUAUUUACUAGGUUUUUUAAAUUUUUAUUUUAUUGCUUUUUCUAGGGCCGCACCCACAGCAUAUGGCAGUUCCCAGGCUAGGGGUCCUGUCAGAGCCACAGCUGCCAGCCUCCACCACAGCCACAGCAACACCAGAUCCAAGCUGUGUCUGUGACCUACGCCGCAGCUCACGGCAAUGCCGGAUCCUUAACCCACUGAGUGAGACCAGGGAUCGAACCCACGUCCUCAUGGAUACUAGCUGGGUUGUUACCGCUGAGCCACAAGGGGAACGCCUAUAUUCUAGUCUUAGGGAUGUACUCUUCUUGAUGCUUAUUAGACUCGCACUAAAGAAAUUAAGAAGAAAACAGUAUACUGAAUGGUUAACGGUUUCAUGGCAAAGUCUCAAGAUGGCAUAGAACACAAGAUAAUGAAGGAGAGAUGGAGAGAAAUAGUUUAUAAGAAAAAAUACAACACAUUUACACUAUUUGAGAUGAAUGAGGGUAAGGGAGAUGACUGCUUUUCUAAUAGGUCAGUUCUCUCUUCUAUCAACAGAGCACUUAAAGCCAGGAGAAUGUGAAGGGGUGCGGGAGGAUGAGGUGCAUGACCUCUAUGCGUGUUUAGUCGGCCUGGUCGCGCUUCAUUCUUGUAACAAUACCAGAGGAUGCAGACUCUCUUUUGGUGAGACAGUUACACGACUUAGCUUAGGCUCUCUUGGCUACUGAAUCUGGUCUUCUCUUUCUGCCCCUGCUGACAUGUUUAUUCCCUGUAAAUAGAAAGUUCUAGACCUGUGUGUCCAGAUACAGUCGCCACUAGCCAUAUGCAGCUAUUGAAGUAUAAAUUAAAAGAAAAAGUUCCUCUCCUGCCCCCCCCCUCCCUUAGCCACAUUUCGAGUGCUCAGCAGCCACACAGGGCUAGUGGCUGCCUUGCUGGGCAGCACAGAUACAGAUCAUGCUCGUUACCGGAGCUGACCGACCGCUGUUCUUUAUCUGGUAGAUGCAAGUGUACUUUUUGUGUAAGAUGGAAAAUGACUGCAGUCUUUGCUUUUCUUUCCUGACCCC
rnacentral:lncRNA from 1 species